UACGUAGGUGGCAAGCGUUGUCCGGAAUUACUGGGCGUAAAGCGCACGUAGGUGGUUUGUUAAGCCAGCUGUGAAAUCCCCGGGCUCAACCUGGGCACUGCAGUUGGAACUGGCAAGCUAGAGUAGGGUAGAGGGGUGUGGAAUUCCAGGUGUAGCGGUGAAAUGCGUAGAUAUCUGGAGGAACAUCAGUGGCGAAGGCGACACCCUGGACUCAUACUGACACUGAGGUGCGAAAGCGUGGGGAGCAAACAGG
rnacentral:rRNA from 1 species